UUAGGAGUCUAUUAUGCUUCCUCUAGCGGCGGUAACGUUCAGACUCCAAGAAAGGAACUUUUUCGGCGGCAAAGGCGAGCACAGAGACGGAGAGACCGGUCGAAAUUUGAGCUCUGUUCAUACGCUUAAUUUAAUAUCUUUUCAUUUCCCCUUCCAUCUGAGGAUCUUUAAACCGCUAGAGGUUAGGGUUUCGAGGAGCUGACCGCCACGGAUGCCGAUGGACGAUGGGUUGUUGAACGACAUCAUACGGCGGCUACUGAGUGCGAAGAACGGGCGUUCGACGAAGCAGGUCAAUCUUACCGAGGUCGAGAUUCGAAAGCUCUGCUUUGCGUCCAGGGAGAUCUUUCUCAGCCAGCCCAACCUCUUGGGGCUUGAAGCGCCCAUCAAGAUUUGCGGGGAUGUUCAUGGGCAAUAUUCUGAUCUUCUCCGCUUAUUUGAAUAUGGUGGCUUUCCCCCCGCAGCCAACUAUUUGUUCCUAGGUGACUAUGUUGAUCGUGGAAAACAGUGCAUAGAAACCAUCUGUCUCCUCCUAUCAUACAAGAUCAAGUAUCCAGAGAACUUCUUCCUUCUAAGGGGAAACCAUGAAUGUGCCUCCAUCAAUCGUAUCUAUGGAUUCUAUGAUGAAUGCAAGAGAAGAUUUAAUGUUCGCCUUUGGAAGGUUUUUACAGAAACCUUCAAUUGCCUUCCAGUUGCUGCACUUAUUGAUGAAAAGAUACUUUGUAUGCAUGGGGGAUUGUCACCAAGUUUAAAGCACCUGGAUCAGAUAGAGAAUAUUGUGAGGCCAACUGAUGUGCCUGAUCAAGGUCUUCUUUGUGAUCUUUUAUGGGCUGAUCCCGAUAAAGAUAUUCAAGGUUGGGGGGAAAAUGACAGAGGUGUAUCUUAUACAUUUGGACCAGACAAACUUUCAAAAUUUCUCCAGAAGCAUGAUUUGGAUCUCAUCUGCCGAGCUCACCAGGUUGUAGAAGAUGGUUAUGAGUUCUUUGCAAGUAGAAAGCUGGUCACAAUAUUUUCUGCGCCAAAUUACUGUGGGGAGUUUGACAAUGCUGGUGCCAUGAUGAGUGUCGAUGAUGCUUUGACAUGCUCAUUUCAGAUCCUCAAGCCUGCAGACAAGAGAGUAAAAUUUGGAUUUGGGAAUGGAGUGAUAAAACCCGGAACACCACCUAGAAAGGCUUUUCAUUUUCAACCGCUACAAGAUCAAUGAUACCAUGAGCUUGGACUUCUGUUGCUGACAUAAAAACAUCCCUUUCCAUAUCUUCGAAUAUAACCCAGUUGCCCGUUCUUUGUACAUAAACUUUUGGUUGAAGAGAUUGAAUUCUAUCGCCUGGCCUUUUCAGCUACAAAUCGAAUACAGUUUUUUAUGCUUGAGGUUAUCCUUCUGGACCUCCAACAUUUUGUACAUAGUUAUAUAGGAAAUGCUGUUCUGUAGAUGCCAAGGUAAUGAUACUAUGCAAAUGUAUAAUAUAGUUGUUUACUUAUAUCUUCACAGCUAAUUGUGACUUUUACAAGUCAUAACAAUUUGAGUAAAAAAGUUUUGCUCAGCAUAUUUCUGAGCUAAAAUUUAGAAUA